UUUUCGGCAAUGGGGGAAACCCUGACCGAGCAAUGCCGCGUGAAUGAUGAAAUUCUUCGGAAUGUAAAAUUCUGUUGUGAGGGAAGAAAGGUAGUAUCAGGAAAUGUGUAUUACUUGACGGUACCUUACUAGAAAGCCCCGGCUAACUAUGUGCCAGCAGCCGCGGUAAUACAUAGGGGGCGAGCGUUAUCCGGAAUUAUUGGGCGUAAAGCGUGCGUAGGCGGCCGUUUAAGUCUGUCGUGAAAGCCCACAGCUUAACUGUGGAGGGUCGAUGGAAACUGGAUGGCUUGAAUCUAGAAGAGGUAAGUGGAAUUCCAUGUGUAGCGGUAAAAUGCUUAGAUAUAUGGAGGAACACCAGUGGCGAAGGCGGCUUACUGGUCUAGCAUUGACGCUGAGGCACGAAAGCGUAGGUAGCAAACAGGAUUAGAUACCCUGGUAGUCUACGCUGUAAACGAUGAGCACUAAGUGUCGGACGUAAGUUCGGUGCUGUAGUUAACGCAUUAAGUGCUCCGCCUGGGGAGUACGGUCGCAAGACUGAAACUCAAAGGAAUUGACGGGGACUCGCACAAGCGGUGGAGCAUGUGGUUUAAUUCGACGCAACGCGAAAAACCUUACCAGGCCUUGACAUCCCUAUGACCGCUCUAGAGAUAGAGUUUCCUCUUCGGAGGUAUAGGUGACAGGUGGUGCAUGGUUGUCGUCAGCUCGUGUCGUGAGAUGUUGGGUUAAGUCCCGCAACGAGCGCAACCCUUAUCAUUAGUUGCUAACAUUAAGUUGAGCACUCUAAUGAGACUGCCAGCGACAAGUUGGAGGAAGGUGGGGAUGACGUCAAAUCAUCAUGCCCCUU
rnacentral:rRNA from 1 species